rnacentral:rRNA from 1 species
GGGCAGCGGAGGCAGUAGCAAUACUGCCUGCCGGCGACCGGCGCACGGGUGAGUAACACGUAUGCAACCUACCCUUGUCAGGGGGAUAAGCCGGAGAAAUCCGGUCUAAUACCGCGUGACAUCGGGAUUCCGCAUGGGAUUCCGAUCAAAGGAGCAAUCCGGACAAGGAUGGGCAUGCGGCGCAUUAGCUAGUUGGCGGGGUAACGGCCCACCAAGGCGACGAUGCGUAGGGGUUCUGAGAGGAAGGCCCCCCACACUGGUACUGAGACACGGACCAGACUCCUACGGGAGGCAGCAGUGAGGAAUAUUGGUCAAUGGGCGCGAGCCUGAACCAGCCAAGUCGCGUGAGGGAAUAAGGUCCUAUGGAUUGUAAACCUCUUUUGUCCGGGAGCAAUGAGCGUCACGCGUGAUGCGUUGAGAGUACCCGAAAAAAAAGCAUCGGCUAACUCCGUGCCAGCAGCCGCGGUAAUUACGGAGGAAGCGAGCGUUUUCCGGAUUUAUUUGGGUUUAAAGGGGUGCGUUGGCGGGGUGCCUNGUCGGCGGUUNUUUCGUGGGGCUCUNCCCCGUCCCGCCGUUGCCCUGGUUUUCUUGCGUGGCUGCGNCGUCUGCCGCCUGCCUCUUUCNCCCUNNNUUGCNUNNUUUUCUCGGGAAACUCCNNUUNCNNNNNCNNCNUCCCNNCNUCCNNCUNNNCNCUNNNNCNCNNNNNCNUNNNUCUCUCUUAAAAGUNNNUNCCCUNNUNNUCCNCNCANUNNNCGACCCUUAAGGGGUCCGGGGCGAGUGAGCUCUGGGUGAUACAGCGAAAGCGUUAAGCAUUCCACUUGGGGAGUACGCCGGCAACGGUGAAACUCAAAGGAAUUGACGGGGGCCCGCACAAGCGGAGGAACAUGUGGUAUAAUUAGAUGAUACGCGAGGAACCUUACCCGGGCUCAAACGUAGCAGGAAUAAUUGAGAAAUCAGUUAGUUCUUCGGAACCUGCUACGAGGUGCUGCAUGGUUGUCGUCAGCUCGUGCCGUGAGGUGUCGGCUUAAGUGCCAUAACGAGCGCAACCCCCAUCGACAGUUGCUAACAGAUCAAGCUGAGGACUCUGUCGAGACUGCCGGCGCAAGCUGUGAGGAAGGCGGGGAUGACGUCAAAUCAGCACGGCCCUUACGUCCGGGGCGACACACGUGUUACAAUGGCGGGGACAGCGGGAAGCCACCUGGCGACAGGGAGCGGAACCCGAAACCCCGUCUCAGUUCGGAUUGGAGUCUGCAACCCGACUCCAUGAAGCUGGAUUCGCUAGUAAUC